GAAAAUCAUGAUAGACAAGUAUUUUUAGAAGAAAAAAUAAAAAAAAAAGAAAAAAAAAUAGAGCAAUAUGAUUUACAAAUCAAAGAAUUUAAACUCACCAUUGAGGAUAUGCAUAAACGUAUAACAAAGGCGAAUAGUGACGUAAUAGAAAAGGAAAAAUGCCUUAACUUUUUAAACAAAUUCCAAAAAAAUACGACUGGAUUUGUUCAGCUAGAUAUUUUUGACAGAAUGGAAACAAUAUUUAAUUCAAGAGAAUUUAUAAAAAAAAAAAAGAUAAAUUGAAAGAAAAAAUAAAUACUAUAAAAACAAAAAUUAAAGAUACUGAAAAAAAAAACAAUUUAACCUUAAAAAAUAAAGAAACAGAGUGUAAAGACCUAAAACGUACUGCAGAACAGAUUGCAGUGAGAGAAAAUGAAAUAAAAACGAAAUUAAAGGAAAACAUAAACGAACAUAAUAAAAAAGCUUUGUUAUUAUAUAAAAUAUAUUCUUGUGUAGAUAAUUUUUUAAAUCGUUUUGUUUCAUUUCUGCCUGAAUUACGUCAUUAUAACCUAAUGAAAGAGGAAGAAAAAUUAAACCUGGAAAAAAAAGCAAAAAUUGCGGAUUUAAAAGAAGGGGCAUAUGAAAUAGAAUUAGAAGACUUUUAUCAUAUAGAGGAAGAUAUUAUUAAAAAGUUUGAUGUAAUCUACAAAUAUAUAAGAGACACAAUACAUAUAAUUAAUAAAGUUAAAAAAGAAAUAACGUUAAAAGAAGAAAGCCAAGUGGAACUGGUUAAAAACGACAUAGAUGAAGAGGUUGAAUUUUGUACAUACAACAAUAUUAAAGGCAAAAAUAAUUAAUAUAAAAAUGUAAGCAUUUGUGAAAGAAAUGAACAAAUAGACAAAUGAAAGAUAAAACUGAAAGGAAUAGAUAAUGUAUAAACUACUUAAGUCGUUUAUUUUAUUCUUUUUUUUUCUGUUAUUGUCUUUUUUCGAUUGCAUAAAAAACUGCAGCACUCAGGUGUAAUUCCGUUAACGUAAGAUACUUGUUCUAAAAAUUUAAAAUAGUCCACUUUUUUUUUUCUGAUUUGAUAAAAAAUAAGGCAAAAUAUUAUUUUUAAUAUUAACAAACUUUGAAAUAGAUUUUAAAGAAUGUAGACCUAUAUUUCCUGAAUACAAUAAAUCAAAAUUAAUGUUUUGAUACCA
rnacentral:lncRNA from 1 species